rnacentral:rRNA from 1 species
UUCCAGCUCCAAUAGCGUAUAUUAAAGUUGUUGCAGUUAAAAAGCUCGUAGUUGAAUUUCGGGGUUAGUAGGUUGGUCAUGCCUCUGGUAUGUACUGAUCUCACUGAUUCCUCCUUCCUUAUGAACCGUAAUGCCAUUAAUUUGGUGUUGCGGGGAAUUUGGACUGUUACUUUGAAAAAAUUAGAGUGUUUAAAGCAGGCUAACGCUUGAAUACAUUAGCAUGGAAUAAUGAAAUAGGACGUUCGAUCUUAUUUUGUUGGUUUCUAGGAUUGACGUAAUGAUUAAUAGGGAUAGUUGGGGGCAUUAGUAUUCAAUUGUCAGAGGUGAAAUUCUUGGAUUUAUUGAAGACUAACUACUGCGAAAGCAUUUGCCAAGGAUGUUUUCAUUAAUCAGGAACGAAAGUUAGGGGAUCGAAGACGAUCAGAUACCGUCGUAGUCUUAACCAUAAACUAUGCCGACUAGGGAUCGG